rnacentral:rRNA from 1 species
CCUACGGGCGGCUGCAGUAGGGAAUAUUGCUCAAUGGGGGAAACCCUGAAGCAGCAACGCCGCGUGGAGGAUGAAGGUUUUCGGAUUGUAAACUCCUUUUGUGCGGGAGCAAUAAUGGUCACGUGUGGCCAGACGAGAGUACCGUACGAAUAAGCAUCGGCUAACUCCGUGCCAGCAGCCGCGGUAAUACGGGGGAUGCAAGCGUUAUCCGGAUUUAUUGGGUUUAAAGGGUGCGUAGGCUGUGAGGUAAGUCAGCGGUGAAAUGCCCCCGCUCAACGGGGUGAAGUGCCAUUGAUACUGCCGUGCUGGAAUGCGGAUGCCGUGGGAGGAAUGUGUGGUGUAGCGGUGAAAUGCAUAGAUAUCACACAGAACACCGAUUGCGAAGGCAUCUCACGAAUCCGCGAUUGACGCUGAUGCACGAAAGCGUGGGUAUCAAACAGGAUUAGAUACCCCUGUAGUC